GACGAAGGGGGCUAGCGUUGUUCGGAAUUACUGGGCGUAAAGCGCGUGUAGGCGGUUGUUCAAGUCAGGUGUGAAAGCCUUGAGCUCAACUCAAGAAAUGCACUUGAUACUGGAUGACUAGAGGACCGGAGAGGAUAGUGGAAUUCCCAGUGUAGUGGUGAAAUACGUAGAGAUUGGGAAGAACACCAGUGGCGAAGGCGGCUCACUGGCCCGGAACUGACGCUGAGACGCGAAAGCGUGGGGAGCAAACAGG
rnacentral:rRNA from 1 species